AUGAGAUAUCGGCAGCCUCCCUCGAGGAGGACCGCCGGACGCAAUGAAUAUUGUCUUGGAACUACCGGGGGGAACCGCCGGACAGUUCGUGAGAUUUUGGCCCUCUCAAAAGCCAACAGCCCCAAGCUAGUCUUUCUAUGUGAGACUAGGCAGGAUUCAGCUAAGGUGGAUAAGUUAAAGUGGUGGCUUGGUUUAAAGGGCUACCACGGUGUUAGUAGUGAUGGACGGAGUGGCGGACUAGCUCUGUUUUGGGAUGAGUCUCUUUCGGUUACAGUGCUCGAAUCUUGUAAUAGGUUCAUCGAUGUUCGUGUCCAGGAUGGUGGUUCUGAUGUUCUAUGCAGAGGCACGUUUAUAUAUGGGGAGCCGAGGGUGGAAAAUCGACAGCGUAUGUGGGAUCAUCUCUGCCGGUUGUGCUCAGUUUUGUGA
rnacentral:rRNA from 1 species